rnacentral:rRNA from 1 species
UACGUAGGGUGCAAGCGUUAAUCGGAAUUACUGGGCGUAAAGCGUGCGCAGGCGGUUGUGCAAGACAGAUGUGAAAUCCCGGGCUUAACCUGGAACUGCAUUUGUGACUGCAUCGCUGGAGUGCGGCAGAGGGGAUGGAAUUCCGCGUGUAGCAGUGAAAUGCGUAGAUAUGCGGAGGAACACCGAUGGCGAAGGCAAUCCCCUGGGCCUGCACUGACGCUCAUGCACGAAGCGUGGGAGCAACAGG